AAUGGAGAGUUUGAUCCUGGCUCAGGAUGAACGCUGGCGGCGUGCCUAAUACAUGCAAGUCGAACGCUUCACUUCGGUGAAGAGUGGCGAACGGGUGAGUAAUACAUAAGUAACCUGGCAUCUACAGGGGGAUAACUGAUGGAAACGUCAGCUAAGACCGCAUAGGUGUAGAGAUCGCAUGAACUCUAUAUGAAAAGUGCUACGGGACUGGUAGAUGAUGGACUUAUGGCGCAUUAGCUGGUUGGUAGGGUAACGGCCUACCAAGGCGACGAUGCGUAGACCGAGCAACGCCGCGUGAAGGAAGAAGUAAUUCGUUAUGUAAACUUCUGUCAUAGAGGAAGAACGGUGGAUAUAGGGAAUGAUAUCCAAGUGACGGUACUCUAUAAGAAAGCCACGGCUAACUACGUGCCAGCAGCCGCGGUAAUACGUAGGUGGCGAGCGUUAUCCGGAAUUAUUGGGCGUAAAGAGGGAGCAGGCGGCACUAAGGGUCUGUGGUGAAAGAUCGAAGCUUAACUUCGGUAAGCCAUGGAAACCGUAGAGCUAGAGUGUGUGAGAGGAUCGUGGAAUUCCAUGUGUAGCGGUGAAAUGCGUAGAUAUAUGGAGGAACACCAGUGGCGAAGGCGACGAUCUGGCGCAUAACUGACGCUCAGUCCCGAAAGCGUGGGGAGCAAAUAGGAUUAGAUACCCUAGUAGUCCACGCCGUAAACGAUGAGUACUAAGUGUUGGGAGUCAAAUCUCAGUGCUGCAGUUAACGCAAUAAGUACUCCGCCUGAGUAGUACGUUCGCAAGAAUGAAACUCAAAGGAAUUGACGGGGGCCCGCACAAGCGGUGGAGCAUGUGGUUUAAUUCGAAGCAACGCGAAGAACCUUACCAGGUCUUGACAUCGAUCUAAAGGCUCCAGAGAUGGAGAGAUAGCUAUAGAGAAGACAGGUGGUGCAUGGUUGUCGUCAGCUCGUGUCGUGAGAUGUUGGGUUAAGUCCCGCAACGAGCGCAACCCCUGUUGCCAGUUGCCAGCAUUAAGUUGGGGACUCUGGCGAGACUGCCGGUGACAAGCCGGAGGAAGGCGGGGAUGACGUCAAAUCAUCAUGCCCCUUAUGACCUGGGCUACACACGUGCUACAAUGGACAGAGCAGAGGGAAGCGAAGCCGCGAGGUGGAGCGAAACCCAUAAAACUGUUCUCAGUUCGGACUGCAGUCUGCAACUCGACUGCACGAAGAUGGAAUCGCUAGUAAUCGCGAAUCAGCAUGUCGCGGUGAAUACGUUCUCGGGCCUUGUACACACCGCCCGUCACACCAUGAGAGUCGGUAACACCCGAAGCCGGUGGCCUAACCGCAAGGAAGGAGCUGUCUAAGGUGGGACUGAUGAUUGGGGUGAAGUCGUAACAAGGUAUCCCUACGGGAACGUGGGGAUGGAUCACCUCCUUUCUAGGGAGA
rnacentral:rRNA from 1 species